CCAUCCUGCGUACCUCCCCACACUCUUUCCAGCAGUGUACAAGAGGAGUUCAGUGAUUCCGCAGGACCAAGCGUCAAGGUUUGACAGAUGGCAUCACAGAGUAGCAAGCAGACAAGCAUCGAGUCUGGGGGGUCCCGCUUCAUCUUUGACUGGAAUCCCAAGCACAAGCAGGGAACGAACUAGCAGCGGCAGCCGAGGUGGGCAUGAGGGCCUGCACCUUUUAUGUACAGCCGUUGAAUUCAGAGAGGAGAGACAACCUUCCGUGGAAGAUCAGACUGAUGACCCGGAGAUUAGUGUAACAGAUGGGAUCCUCCAGGACCAAGCAUCAGGGCUUGACAGCCCAGGCCCAGCUUGGCAUCAAAACUCUAUCGGCACACAGGAUCGGCAGGACGGCCUGCUAGAAAGUGCUGCAGAAUCCAGUGAAACAGCACAGCGUUCAGUGGGUUCUCAGACCGACGACAUGGAGAUCUGCAAGGGGCAGUUUUCGGUCUACAUUUCUACCCCGC